UGCAGUCGAGCGGACCGACGGGAGCUUGCUCCCUUAGGUCAGCGGCGGACGGGUGAGUAACACGUGGGUAACCUGCCUGUAAGACUGGGAUAACUCCGGGAAACCGGGGCUAAUACCGGAUGCUUGAUUGAACCGCAUGGUUCAAUUAUAAAAGGUGGCUUUCAGCUACCACUUGCAGAUGGACCCGCGGCGCAUUAGCUAGUUGGUGAGGUAACGGCUCACCAAGGCGACGAUGCGUAGCCGACCUGAGAGGGUGAUCGGCCACACUGGGACUGAGACACGGCCCAGACUCCUACGGGAGGCAGCAGUAGGGAAUCUUCCGCAAUGGACGAAAGUCUGACGGAGCAACGCCGCGUGAGUGAUGAAGGUUUUCGGAUCGUAAAACUCUGUUGUUAGGGAAGAACAAGUACCGUUCGAAUAGGGCGGUACCUUGACGGUACCUAACCAGAAAGCCACGGCUAACUACGUGCCAGCAGCCGCGGUAAUACGUAGGUGGCAAGCGUUGUCCGGAAUUAUUGGGCGUAAAGCGCGCGCAGGCGGUUUCUUAAGUCUGAUGUGAAAGCCCCCGGCUCAACCGGGGAGGGUCAUUGGAAACUGGGGAACUUGAGUGCAGAAGAGGAGAGUGGAAUUCCACGUGUAGCGGUGAAAUGCGUAGAGAUGUGGAGGAACACCAGUGGCGAAGGCGACUCUCUGGUCUGUAACUGACGCUGAGGCGCGAAAGCGUGGGGAGCGAACAGGAUUAGAUACCCUGGUAGUCCACGCCGUAAACGAUGAGUGCUAAGUGUUAGAGGGUUUCCGCCCUUUAGUGCUGCAGCAAACGCAUUAAGCACUCCGCCUGGGGAGUACGGUCGCAAGACUGAAACUCAAAGGAAUUGACGGGGGCCCGCACAAGCGGUGGAGCAUGUGGUUUAAUUCGAAGCAACGCGAAGAACCUUACCAGGUCUUGACAUCCUCUGACAACCCUAGAGAUAGGGCUUCCCCUUCGGGGGCAGAGUGACAGGUGGUGCAUGGUUGUCGUCAGCUCGUGUCGUGAGAUGUUGGGUUAAGUCCCGCAACGAGCGCAACCCUUGAUCUUAGUUGCCAGCAUUCAGUUGGGCACUCUAAGGUGACUGCCGGUGACAA
rnacentral:rRNA from 1 species